CUUUCCACCUCUCACAGCCGCACCUCAAUCCCAUCUCUAGCUCAUUUCUUUUAGGGUUUCCUAAUCAUGUCUACUAGAAAACCAGAAUUUGAUUUUUUAUGCUACUAGAAAUAGAAUUGAAGGUGAAGGUGAAGGUGGUUAAAUGAAGCCGAACUUGAACCAGAAUCAGGAAGUAGAAGAGGACAAUUAGUUGAAUCAGAAUAUUUUGAGACCAGCGAAUCUUAUGGUGUUGUUGAUUAGGGGUUCAAACAUCUUUUUUAAGAAAUAUGAUACACUAUUCGAAUGGGUCUUUUUGGAUUUUCGGAAAUGGAUAUCGAAGCAUAGUUCCUGUUGCAGAUGAUGAGAUUAUGAAGCAUGAAGGCCAACGUACUGCGGAAUAUCUUGUGGAAUAUCUGUAUAAAUAGAAAGGAGGCCAUAGAAAUCUUCUUCUGGUUACUCCAAGUGUGUAUUUUCUUCUAGUAUUCAAGAACUCACCGUAAUAGCUUGAACCUUGGUUUCUUUUGUGUGUAAUCCUUUUUGUUAUUUUAUUUGUAAGCUAAUGAAGAGUGUUUUACUUGCAUCUCUAGAGUUUUCCUCGGUGUUGGGCGAAAUAGUUAUGGAAUAUAAGGUUGAGUUUAAGGGAUCUUCAAAUUUCAAUAAGCGUCCACAAUCAUGAGUUCAUUGCAACUGUUGAAACCAUAUUUCUCUUCUGUUACAUUAUUUGUAAGCUGAAGGUGAUGAUGGAUGAAUUAUUGGCUUGCAGUUGUAGAGUCUUCUGUAGUGAUAAAGAAUAAGUCUGGGGUUAAUGGAGCUUCAAAUUCCAACAGGAGGUGACAAUCAAGAAUUCCUGGACAAAAUCUCGCAGCAAUGAUGUAUCAGCGAAAUUAUCAACAACACAACACCACAGCGUCGCAGAACAAUUUCAGAAAUGAUAUAGUAAACGACGUCAGCUAGAAUUAUGAGAAAGAUGUGAGAAUCCUGCAAAAGUUAGAGAGUUCGCGAGAAUAACAUUUGUAAGGUUGCAAGAAUGUUGCAAAGCAUAUCCGAGAAUAAAGGACAGAUUAGCUGUCAUCCACUAUGUACUUCCCUAUAAAUAGUCGUUCAGUUGUAAAGGAAAGGG